UUGUGACAGGGAAGGUAGUGACACGGACUGCCUCAGGUGAAUUCUCCAUAGUGACACAUCGGGAGGUGUUGACCCGGCCUCUCCCAGGGGUAUUAGCGUAUAUUCAACUUGUUGCAAUUACAAAGCUCGUAGUUGAAUUUCUGCUGUAUUGCAUUUUCUCUUUUUAUAUGAGUUUUUGCAUUAUGCCUUAUUUCAGUAUUAAAUUUUUAUUAUUACUGAAUGUUUUCUUUGAGAAACCUCUAGUGCUCAAAGCAGGCUUUUGCCUUGAAUAGUUUAGCUUGCAACAAUAAAGUACGACUAUGGUUCUAUUUCGUUGGUUUUAGGUACCCAACCACUGGCUAAUAGAACCAGAUGGCGGUCUCCUUAUUUAACUGUCAGAAGGUGAAAUUCUUAGAC
rnacentral:rRNA from 1 species